CUUUGAGACACUUGUGAUUUAGGGCUAUAUAAGUAAACAUUGAUUGAGUGAUGAUUGAUUGACUUAUGCAACGCAUACCAUCUGGUAUGCAUCAGGGAGGGUGAUGAGUGGAAAACGGCAUUUAAUACCCACCUGGGCCACUUUGAUUACCAGGUCAUGCCGUUCAGGCUGACCAACGUACCUGCCGUUUUCCAAGCCUUCGUAGACGACGUACUCAGGGACAUGAUUGAUCGACCGUUUCGUGGUUGUCUACCUUAACAAUAUCCUUAUCUUUUCUUAGACCCUGCAGGAGAAUCACCAACACGUCCGCCUUGUCCUUCAAUGACUACUGGAAUAUCGCCUUUUCGUGAAAGCCGAACAAUUUGAGUUCCACACCAUCAGUUGACAUCCUGGGCUUUGAUAUUGAGAAGGGUCACAUCAAAGCUGACCCCAAGAAGGUGGAGGCGGUGGUGGAGUGGACCCAGACCUCGACUCGGAUGGAGCUGCGGCGCUUCCUGGGAUUCGCGGUAUUCCACAGACGCUUCAUCAAAGACUUUGUGGACCCGAGAAGCCAGGAUGGCAUUCUGGAACCUCAAGAGGAGCUUUGUAUCCGCGCCUAUCCUAGUUCACCCAGAUCCUGACUGCCCAUUCAUUCUGGAGGUGGACGCCUCUGACUCCGAAAUUGGGGCUGUACUUUCCCAGCACUCCAAACGGGACAACAGUGUCCACCUAUGUGCUUAUUUUUCCAGACGCUUAUACCACGCUGAACAGAACUAUGAUGCCAGUAACAGGAAAUGACUGGCUGUGUAUCGUACACUUCGGUUUACCUGGACGGAUUCUCGCUCAUCCACGCGGACUGGAGAUUGGCCGAGAACCAGUUGGCAGCCUAGGACCUCUUGGUUUCUUUGAUGGAUCUGUUCCUUUCUCCAGUAAGCAGUGGAGAAGCCACCGCAGUGUACAGUGUGUGAGUAUUAAAUUGGUAUUUUUGUGAUGUUUUGCAAUCGUAUGUGUACAAUGUAUUCAUUGCUAAUUUUUUGUUGUGUUUUUUGUAGCCGUAUGUAGAAAUGGCUGCAUCAACUGUGUGCUCGGUUAGUGUCUUUUAUGUCCUUUGUGUUUUUCGGUGUUUCCCUCUUAUUUUCAUGUGUUUUCUUACCCUAUUUGUUGGGUUGUUUUUGUAUACAACUUAAAGGCCUACUGAAACCCACUACUACCCACCACGCAGUCUGAUAGUUUAUAUAUCAAUGAUGAAAUAUUAACAUUGCAACACAUCCCAAUACGGCCUUUUUAGUUUACUAAAUUGCAAUUUUAAAUUUCCCGGGAGUUUCGUCUUGAAAACGUCAUGUAAUGAUGACGUGUAUGCAAGACGUCACAGGUUUUUAGGAAGUAUGAGCGCUACACACACACAUAGCUAAAAGUUGUCUGCUUAACGGCAUAAUUACACAGUAUUUUGGAGAACUGUGUUGCUGAAUCUUUUGCAAUUUGUUCAAUUAAUAUUGGAGAAGUCAAAGUACCAAGAUGGAGUUGGGAAGCUUUAGCCUUUAGCCCCCCAAACACACGGUGAUUCCUUGUUUAAAAUUCCUGGAGGUGAAAAUUUACUAUGGAUCAGAGUGCGGUCAAGCGAACAUGAAACACGACGGAAUGUCAACCAGCAGGUUUCGGUCAGAAAAUUGUGGUUAAAAAGUCGUUUCUUACCGGAGAAAAGCUGAGCUUGCCCCGUCCAUAGUUGCCGUCAACUCCCCUGAGACACUGCGCCCGUGGAUGUACACCUCCGACUAUCAGGUACUAUUUAACUCACUAAAACACUAGCAACAUAAUAGAAAGAUAAGGGAUUUCCCAAAAUUAUCUUACUAAAUGUGUCUAAAAACAUCGGAAUCCGUCCCAAUGCAAUCAGGUAUUUUUUUAUUUUUUUUUACUUUUUAUUAUUUUUUUUCUAGUCCGUGGCUAUCAAUAUCUUGAAACACGAUUCUUUCAUCCUCGCUCAAAUUAAUGGGGAAAUUGUUGUUUUCUCGGUCCGAAUAGCACUUUUUGUUGGAGGCUCACAUUCUAAACAAUGUGAAUAUGUGAGGAGCCCCCACACCUGCGACGUCAUCGUCUGCGACUUCCGGUAAAGGCAGGGCUUUUGUCCUAGCACCGAAAGUUGCGAACUUUAUCGUGGAUGUUCUCUAUUAAAUCCUUUCAGCAAAAAAUGGCAAUAUUGCGAAAUGAUCAAGUAUGACACAUAGAAUGGACCUGCUAUCCCCGUUUAAAUAACAAAAUCUCAUUUCAGUAGGCCUUUAACCACAUAAUUUCCCCAAUGGGGUUUGAGUCAGGCCAUUAAAGGGAACAUUAUCACAAUUUCAAAAGGGUUAAAACCAAUAAAAAUCAGUUCCCAGAGGCUUAUUUUAUUUUUUGAAGUUUUUUUCAAAAUUUUACCAGUCCCGGAAUAUCCCUAAAAAAAGCUUUAAAGUGCUUGAUUUUCGCUAUUUGCUUAAGCCACUGUCUAUUUCCCUGUGACGUCACAUAGCGAUUCCAAUACAAACAAUGGCGAAUAGCACAGCAAGAUACAGCGACAUUAGCUCGGAUUCAGACUCGGAUUUCAGCGGCUUAAGCGAUUCAACAGAUUACGCAUGUAUUGAAACAGAUGGUUGGAGUAUGGAGGCAGAUAGCGAACACGAAAUUGAAGAAGAAACUGAAUCUAUUGAGCGAAUAGCUAUUGAUGCUAUUCGGCCAUGCAUGUCUGCGUUAGCAUCGCCGGUAAAAUGUGCAGACCAACCGUUCAGGACUUUUGCAUUAACUCUGGAUCAACUUAAAUCUGUCGAUUGGUAAGUGUUUGUUUCGCAUUAAAUGUGGGUGGAAAGAAACACUGGAUGUAAAUAUAGUAUCAAAUGUACAUUCAGGUAGCCUGAAUAGCAUGUUAGCAUUGAUUAGCUGGCAGUCAUGCCAAGACCAAAUAUGUCUGAUUAGCACAUACGUCAAUAACAUCAACAAAACUCACCUUUAUGAUUUCGUUGACUUUAUCGUUGGGAAUGCAUCUGCUUUGAGUGUCACAGGAUAUCCAGACAUUCUUGUAAUCUCUGUGCCAUCUCUGUCGUAGCAUCCCCGGUAAAAACCAAAUGAGGGACUUUCGCAUCUCUUGACACUGGAGCAACUUAAAUCUGUCGAUUGCUAAGUGUUUGUUUGGCAUUAAAUGUGGAUGGAGGGAAAGGCUGGAUGUAAAUAUAGCUACAAAUGAGGCGUAAUGCUGCAAUAUGUACACACAGCUAGCCUUAAUAGCAUGUUAGUGUAACAAACAGUUCAGGGUGUCCCUCCAGUGUUGCCGUAGGGCUGUGACGUAAGGGGUCUAUAUAAAGGUGGGUUGUUGAAGAAGGUGAGGUAUAUGGAGAGAGGUGUAAAGAAGGGAACAAUGAAGAAGUGGUGGAGACCGGACCUGCUCUCAUGACUCCCUUUUAUUAUUUUAUUUUAUCAGUACCCGGAAUAUGCGAACCCAGGAUACUCGGCUACAAUGGUGGCAGCGGUGGGAUUAUUUUAACUGCUGUGUUAAAAAAAAAAGAAGAAAGUUUUACACGGGACACGUGAGUUUCCAGUUAGCUGCUAAGCUUCCCGGCCAUUUUGCGGACACGUAGUGUGGUGACACGACUCUUUUUAAGCCCGGAAGCGCUGUUUGACGGACACUCACAUGGCAUGAAUGUCGAAAGUGGACUUUUUUAUUAAACCGCUUCUUUCACCGACGGACGGAGCCGACCGCGACUGCAACCAGGAGCUGGUGAGGAUUUUCGGAUCCUCCCGACUCGUCCCGUGGGAGACUGGGGGCAGUUUUUAAACAAAGACAAUUAAUGGACCGCUUCGGGGCCAACCUGCCGGCGAGUGUGCGUGCUCCGGGGGAGAGCUUGGAGGUGUUUGCUGCGGGCGUGGUCCGGCUGGUUGCGGAGGCGUUCCCGCGGUCUUGCUGCUGGCCCUUAGCGCCGAGAGACAGCCGACGGUGGCGUGAGAAGUACAGAGCGUGUCGGACCCGUUGGUGCCCUUAACGUCCCCGUGGGCGGGUCCCAGGGUUGUCGCCCCCCCGGAGGGUGGUCAUGGACGUUCUGGAUGUGGCCCGGAGGUUCCCAUGGGGGGCGUGGGGGGCCCAGGGUGUUUCCCCUUCAAUUAGACUCUGUCAGUUGCUUGAAAAAAAAGGACGCGCACCACUGCCUAUAACCCCAAGUCUGACGGCAUGAUGGAGCGUCGUAAACGAACUAUCUCACAAACGGACUAUCUCGCAGGGGGUGACUGGGGUAACCUCAUGCGCACCA